UUGGAAGUCGACGAAGACGCUUGAGAAGAUGUGAAAUAUUUGUGAAAAGUAAAAUAAAACCAUGUUCAAGGCGUAAAUUAAUGAAAAAUCAAUCAAUCACAAGUUUAUGUACAUAGUUGAAACGAAGGAAAUACAUAGUCAAAAGAGAGAUGGCGAUUUUAGUCGAAUUCCAAACGCAUUCUGAGCUUAUCGCAUAUUGAAUUCCUGGCAUGCACGACAACUCGAUGACGGCACACACACCCAUUGCCCACCUUCGGCUGCCUCCCCCUUUGGGCCAACCGUCCUUCUUGGUCUUGUGCUUCUUCAGUUGGAUUCAAACUGUUUUUGGCCAAGAUACUUUAAGCUGAUUUUAUUUGAUGAAGAUACUUACAUUUACCAGGAAGAAUGGCCAAUACAAACGGUAUCGAAUUCCAACCAACAAAGCAACCGAAAAAAAAGGAAAAAAAAUUGGAAAAAAAAGAACGAAAGCCGGGAUCAUAAAAAUAAAACGAGUCAACAAGCAAAAGGCUUUGUUGUUGUUUACGUCCUUCAAGUGCAAUAUGGUGAUAAGGCUGAGAUGUCCGAAGACAGCAGAACGACGACGAUCCAGACAGAUUUUAUGGCUAAAAUAAAUGACGAACAGCGAAAACGGCAAACGGCAACGAAAGGAACAGGCUAAUAAAAAGCCAUUAAAGUCAAGUUCAGGCAGGUCAUGUGAGAUCUGAAGAUGCUUUAACUUCGGCUGAAAACGGAAUUGUACCACCAAUAGUUCUGAAGUAAUUAACAGGGAGGGAUACUCCAAAAUAACGAGCAACAUCAUCUCCCAUGGAACUGCAAUCAAUAAACCAUUAAAAAUUACACACGGAAACAUAAUAACAUAAACAAUAUUCCCCAAAACCCGGAAAAGAACAGGACACCUUAACUCACCUGAUGCGGUAGGCAUCCUGUCGGCCCGUUUCCGCCGGCUCCCAGGAGACGUGCAGCGCAUUGCUGCGGUCG